UGUAUUUUGUCUGCUGCCGCCGCACGUCUUCCGCUGGCGUUGAUGUUGACGCGAAUCAAUGAACCUGGUCCGACAGCGGCAUAAGUUCGUUUGCUUUGCUAGAAUGCGUUAAAUUUUACAUGUUAAGAAAAGCUUUAUCAAGUGCGCCACUGUUCGAACUCUGCGUUCGUCUACUAAUUCUUCAAAUUUAAUGUGUGAUGUCAACGAGUGUUCCGAUUCACCAUGUGUCUGCCCAUCGUGCGUGUAGAAACUUGAUAGUAAUGUGCGAGUAGGGAACAGUUUUCUCUAGAGUAGCGCCUCGCGCCUGUGCAUCUUGAAUUUUGACGUGUUUCAGUUGACGCAGUGCAUUCUUUUAGUCUCUGCUGUGAAACAGACGAGGAAGAAGUCUUCGCGCCAUGGACAAGAAAGGACAAUCUAUGACCAGUGAGGAAAUGGAAAAAGCGAUACUUCAGCCUUAUUAUUACAUCGUCAAAAUUCCAGGAAAACAAAUAAGAACCAAGCUGGCACAGGCCUUCAAUUAUUGGCUGAAGAUAUCCCCUGAAAAAUGUCAAGCUGUUACAGAGAUUGUUCAAAUGCUCCACAAUUCUAGUCUCCUGAUUGAUGACAUUGAGGAUAACUCUUUGCUGCGAAGAGGUGUGCCUGUCGCACAUCACAUCUUUGGAGUGGCCAGCACUAUAAACUCUGCCAACUAUGUUUACUUCCUCAGUCUUGAGAAAUGUCUACAGCUGGGUGAUCCUCAGGCCACCACUGUUUUCACUGAACAGUGCCUAGAGCUUCACCGUGGUCAAGGCAUGGAAAUCUACUGGAGGGACAACUACAUCUGUCCUUCAGAGGAUGACUACAUCACAAUGGUUAAACGAAAAACUGGUGGCCUUUUUGGACUGGCUGUGCGGCUUAUGCAACUUUUUAGUGAAAACAAGAGUGAUUUCAGUGAAUUGAUUGGCACCUUGGGGCUGUACUUUCAAAUAAGGGAUGAUUAUGCCAACCUGGUUCUAAAAGAGUAUACAGAUAACAAGAGCUUUGCAGAGGAUCUCACGGAGGGAAAGUUUUCAUUUCCCAUUAUACAUGCUAUCCAGAAGCACCCAGAAGACCCUCGGAUGAUGACUUAUCUGCACUAGGUUACAGCAUGCUGGUUUUCUUCCACAGUCACAAUUAGGUACUCUACGUGAUGUCGGGAGCAACAUUGUAAAGAAGCGAACCAAAGACUUGGAAAUCAAGAAGUAUGCUGUGGA
rnacentral:misc_RNA from 1 species